AGUCGAACGGACUUAACUCAUUCUUUUAGAUUGAGAGCGGUUAGUGGCGGACUGGUGAGUAACACGUAAGCAACCUGCCUAUCAGAGGGGAAUAACAGUGAGAAAUCAUUGCUAAUACCGCAUAAGCUAGUAGUAUCGCAUGAUAUAGCUAGAAAAGGAGCAAUCCGCUGAUAGAUGGGCUUGCGUCUGAUUAGCUAGUUGGUGGGGUAACGGCCUACCAAGGCGACGAUCAGUAGCCGGACUGAGAGGUUGAACGGCCACAUUGGGACUGAGAUACGGCCCAGACUCCUACGGGAGGCAGCAGUCGGGAAUAUUGCGCAAUGGAGGAAACUCUGACGCAGUGACGCCGCGUAUAGGAAGAAGGUUUUCGGAUUGUAAACUAUUGUCGUGAGGGAAGAAAUUGACAGUACCUCAGGAGGAAGCUCCGGCUAACUAUGUGCCAGCAGCCGCGGUAAUACAUAGGGAGCAAGCGUUAUCCGGAUUUAUUGGGUGUAAAGGGUGCGUAGACGGGAAAUUAAGUUAGUUGUGAAAUCCCUCGGCUUAACUGAGGAACUGCAACUAAAACUGAUUUUCUUGAGUACUGGAGAGGAAAGUGGAAUUCCUAGUGUAGCGGUGAAAUGCGUAGAUAUUAGGAGGAACACCAGUGGCGAAGGCGACUUUCUGGACAGUAACUGACGUUGAGGCACGAAAGUGUGGGGAGCAAACAGGAUUAGAUACCCUGGUAGUCCACACUGUAAACGAUGGAUACUAGGUGUAGGAUGUAUUAAGCAUUCUGUGCCGCCGCUAACGCAUUAAGUAUCCCACCUGGGGAGUACG
rnacentral:rRNA from 1 species